rnacentral:rRNA from 1 species
CGAACGCCGGCGGCGUGCUUAACACAUGCAAGUCGAACGGAAAGGCCCCUUUGGGGGUACUCGAGUGGCGAACGGGUGAGUAACACGUGAGUAACCUGCCCUUGACUUCGGGAUAACUUCAGGAAACUGGGGCUAAUACCGGAUAGGAAUCCUUGCUGCAUGGUGGGGGUUGGAAAGCUUCGGCGGUUUUGGAUGGACUCGCGGCUUAUCAGCUUGUUGGUGGGGUAGUGGCUUACCAAGGCUUUGACGGGUAGCCGGCCUGAGAGGGCGACCGGCCACAUUGGGACUGAGAUACGGCCCAGACUCCUACGGGAGGCAGCAGUGGGGAAUAUUGCACAAUGGGCGGAAGCCUGAUGCAGCAACGCCGCGUGCGGGAUGACGGCCUUCGGGUUGUAAACCGCUUUCAGCAGGGGCGAAGCUUGUGGUGACGGUACCUGCAGAAGAAGCACCGGCUAACUACGUG